UACAGAGGGUGCAAGCGUUGUUCGGAAUUAUUGGGCGUAAAGCGCGUGUAGGCGGCUUUGCAAGUCGGGUGUGAAAGCCCUCAGCUCAACUGAGGAAGUGCGCCCGAAACUGCAGAGCUUGAGUACCGGAGAGGAUGGCGGAAUUCCCCAAGUAGAGGUGAAAUUCGUAGAUAUGGGGAGGAACACCGGUGGCGAAGGCGGCCAUCUGGACGGAUACUGACGCUGAGACGCGAAAGCGUGGGUAGCAAACAGGA
rnacentral:rRNA from 1 species